ACUCAAAUGAAUUGACGGGGAACCGCACAAGCAGUGGAGCAUGUGGUUUAAUUCGAAGCUACGCGAAGAACCUUACCGAGGCUUGACAUCCUAGGAAUCCCGCAGAAAUGUGGGAGUGCCUUCGGGAGCCUAGUGACAGGUGCUGCAUGGCCGUCGUCAGCUCGUGUCGUGAGAUGUUGGGUUAAGUCCCGCAACGAGCGCAACCCUUAUCGUCUGUUGUAUUUUUCAGGCGAGACUGCCCGGGCCAACCGGGAGGAAGGUGGGGAUGACGUCAGGUCAGCAUGGCCCUUACGCCUCGGGCUACACACGUGCUACAAUGGCCGGUACAACGCGUUGCCAACCCGCAAGGGGGAGCUAAUCGCAUCAAAACCGGUCCCAGUUCGGAUUGAGGGCUGCAACUCGCCCUCAUGAAGUCGGAAUUGCUAGUAAACGUGGGUCAGCAUACCACGUUGAAUACGUUCCCGGUUCUUGCACACACCGCCCGU
rnacentral:rRNA from 1 species